GGGGCGGCAUCUCGGCCUGACUUGUUCUCUCUCCUCAGAAACCCGCGCCGGCCAAAGCGGAGCCGAAGCCAAAAAAGUUGCCGGCAAAGGAUAAAUCUGAGGACAAGAAGGCUCAGAAGGGGAAAAAGGGGCCUAAAGGAAAACAGACAGAAGAGACGAACCAAGAACAGACAAAGGACAACCUGCCUGCAGAAAAUGGGGAAGCUAAAACUGAGGAGGUAAAGUUUGGAGGGCUGGGGUUGGGUCUGACUGAGAGAGAAGUUCCUCCUUGCUACAGAAGUUUUUUGACAAGUGUAAUAUUUUUCUGGGGAGUGGAAAGAGUUUUCAGUGGAAAUGAUUUGACCAAAGCUGAGGUAACACUUACAGACCUUCGAGCAGGAGGUUUUUAGGGAGCAAGGAAAGUAGAGGAUGGUGCUUGAGUGAUUUGCUCUGGUGUAACAGUUUGUCAUUUGCAAGCUUAGACUGUGAUCUUUGUGAAAAGUUGGGAUCUAACUAGGAAUUCUUCAGUUGGCUCAACGUUUUGGCAUCGUUGCAAGCACAUCAUUUGUUUUUUUUAACCUGUACAUCUUCAUGCUGGACUCGUGGUGCUCAGACCAGCCAAAAUUUCAGGUGUAAUACAAUAGCAAAGUCUAGAAGAGUUAGAGUCUGUCCUGUUGGAUGUUACCUGUAAAACAGGGUAAGAUUUGAGGAUAUGCUGAAAAUUGAAUGCAUGAGGUGUGUCUCUAAUUUUCUCAACACCCCGUACGUGGGGAUUUUUAGCCGAGUAAAAGCUAAAGCUCCUCCUGUCAUUAAGGCAGUAAUUCAAGUUAAAAUUAAAAUACUUUGCAGUGUGUGUUUUUAGGAACAAUAUCAACAUCCUGAAAUUCAUACUGAUGGAUCCAAGGAGCCUUUUCUAGACAGCUCAGUUCAGUAGGUCCUGAUCCGAGAGGAGUAAGCUCAUGGCACCAAUUUGUGAAGCACCAUCUGCAGAAACAAGUCAGGGUUGUUCUCUGUGUCACUUUGUGCAUUAAAACCACCCCAAACUAACAGUCUGAGCCACUUAAAAACUUCCUGCACUGAAGUGUCCUGGUCUUUUGUCUCCUUUCAGACCCCAGCACCCGAUGCAGCUGCAGAGAAAGAAGUGAAGUCUGAGUAACACCCCCAUCUGUAACUGGGGGUCUUUAAACCUUUCUUCUUGUACAAUUCAGAGGAAUAUUUUUAUCGACUAUUUUGUAAAUGCGAGUUUUUUAGUAGUUCUAGAAGACACGUUUUUAAAAAAAAAAAAAGGAGAGAGUCCCGACUCAACCCAUUUUUUUACAUAUUUAGAUAAGUGUAAAUGCUUUUUUUAAGUGGUAAAGUCAUGUACUGGUUGUCUGUUUUCUAUGAAACCAGAAAUUAACAGCAUGUUAAUUAAGGAGAGGGCUCUGAAGCCUUGAUUGGGCUUCACGUUCCACAGCCUGUGAGGGACAGUUUUCUAUCCUAUUAAAUGAAGCAUAACACAGAUGAGACUUUGGAAUUCAUAAUGAUGUGUUGAGGAGGUCUUAACAUUUUAGUUAUUUAUCUUUAUGGUUGUACCAUCAGUAGAAUUCCUUAUCUAAUAAAACUGCUCCCUAGUGUUGGAUUUCUUGCUGA
rnacentral:lncRNA from 1 species